rnacentral:rRNA from 1 species
UACGUGAAACCGUUCGGAGGUAAACGAGUGGGCCCUCGAAGUGUGAAGGCGGGGGGACUCAGCCGAACGCCGUCGAGCCCGCCGGCGGGUCCGCGCUUCCCUCCCGGGACGCGGCCCGACGGUGUGCUGGCUCCGGCUUGCGGCGCAUUUCCUCCCGUCCUCCGACGCCGCGACCGGUCGGGCGCGCCACGAGCAGUCGGCCUUACUCGCGGGAAACGGAAGGUAGCCGGGUCGGCGCGCACGCGCCGCUCCCCGGUGUUCUAGCCGUCCCGCAAUCGAGUCAGCCGUUCGCCCGACCGCAGGAACCAAGGCCCUCAGGGGCCCCGCCGUGCCCUCCCCGCUCUGGGGAUCGCUUCCCGCCUCGGAAGGGAUGCCGCUUGUCCCCGCGCCGCACCUCCGGUGCGCGUGGGGCGGCGGCGCCCGCUGGCCGGGGCGUUUGCGAUUCGGGCGCUGGCGGUCUGCGGCGAGUAGGUCGGUCACCCACUCGACCCGUCUUGAAACACGGACCAAGGAGUUUAACAUGCACGCGAGUCACUGGGUCGUGAGCAGGCCCAAGGGCGCAAUGAAAGUGAAGGGCGGCCCAUGCCGUCCGCGUUGGGAUCCUCCGGCCUCCGCGCCGGGGGCGCACCAACGGCUCGUCCGGGCCGCCACGUCGGCCGGGCGAAGCUAGAGCGUGCACGUUGAGACCCGAAAGAUGGUGAACUAUGGCUGGGCAGGACGAAGCC